AAAUCCCACACCCGUGCUAGGGUUUCGGCAUCUGGCAUCGCCUUCAUUAUUGGCGCAUCUCCGACGGCCUCUGGCGGCUCUUCCCCAUCGUCUUUAGCGCCCCCACGUGCUCCCUCGCCAUCUGAUGUUCCACCUCAAGCAGGGCGCCGUGGAGGAUCUCCUCCCGCAGGAUCCACGGAUGUGGCGCACCCUGCAGCCGCUAGUCCGGGAGGAGGGCGGACAAUGCGUCCUUGUCCUAGUCGAUGACGGUUGUGGCGAACGCUGUUGCUACUCCUCAUUCUCGACCUUCAACGAGGAGUGUUGGUACAGCAGAAGCACGCCCUGCCCCUGAACAAUGGCUAUGGCGCCAGGUGAGGACGUCCUCCCCUUGACGCGGCCAUCCCAACGAGAUCUCUUCGCCGGAGGUGGAGCAGCAAGUCCAGCACCCCCUUGGCCACCUAUCCUGCAGCACAUGGACGAGCUCACCGACGGCUGUGUUAUGCCCUCCUAGCGUGAUCUUGGUUAUGGGACCAUUUUCAACAAGACAUGCCUUGUGACAACUUUGGGAUGGACGGGUGGAUUUGCUGCUUGGAUGACCCCUAGUUGGUUGUGGUAGCCUGAUAAGAGUGGCCAUAGCUUGAUGGGGGCGGUGCUGGUUGUAGAGUAGGAUAAUGUUCUCUGGGACAUGCUUGUAAAAUUAAUUUUUUGGCUCUUUUUUCCGCUCCUGUACAAGUGUAUUUUUUGAUAUGUUGUUGCAACUUUCUUUUUCUUAUGACAUGAGCAUAUAUUUUUUGUCACAUUCUUAGUGACGUAAAUUUUCCGUGGAAAAUGAGAGAUG